GACGAACGCUGGCGGCGUGCUUAACACAUGCAAGUCGAACGGAAAGGCCUGCUUUCCCUUGUGGAUUGCGGGUACUCGAGUGGCGAACGGGUGAGUAACACGUGAGUGAUCUGCCCCCAACUUGGGUAUAAGCCUGGGAAACUGGGUCUAAUUCCCGAUAGGACUGCAGGGUGGUGCCUGUGGUGGAAAACGAUGUUCUAGUGGUUGGGGAUGAGCUCGCGGCCUAUCAGCUUGUUGGUGGGGUAAUGGCCUACCAAGGCGGCGACGGGUAGCCGGCCUGGGAGGGUGGACGGCGAUAUUGGGACUGGGUUACGGCCCAGACUCCUACGGGAGGCAGCAGUGGGGAAUAUUGCACAAUGGGCGGAAGCCUGAUGCAGCGACGGCGCGUGGGGGAUGACGGCCUUCGGGUUGUAAACUCCUUUCGAGCGCGAGGAAGCCACCUGGUUGGAAGGGUGGUGACGGUAGUGGUAGAAGAAGCACCGGCUAACUACGUG
rnacentral:rRNA from 1 species